AUGAUCCCGUCCAUCGCGUCGCCGGCGUCCCAGGCCGUCCAUGUCGCCAACGUCAAGACGCAUGUCCCCGUCAUCCUCGACCUCCAGAAGUCCAACUACGCCAAGUGGCGUAUGCUCAUCACCGUCCUCCUCGGCAAGUACGACCUCACCGGCCACAUCUCCGACCUCACACCGCCGGAUGCCCGCUCGGCGGACUGGCAGCAUCAGGACUUCGUCGUGCGCUCGUGGAUCUACGGCUCCAUCAGCGAGGACAUCCUCGACACAAUCAUGGCCCAAGAUCAGACCGCGUACGAGGCCUACGCGCUGAUCCAGAACCUCUUCCUCGACAAUCAGCUCACCCGGGCCGUCUACCUCGAGGCGGAGUUCCGGGCCCUCGUCCAAGGCGACCUCACCAUCACCGCCUACUGCCAUCGCCUGAAGGCCCUCUCCGACGCGCUCGCGGACGUGGGGCAGCCCGUGACCGACCAAACCCUGGUCAUCACCUGUCUCCGGGGGCUCAACCCCCGCUUCUCCGACAUCACCACCCUCGUCACGAUGCAGGUUCCGGCCCCCACCUUUCUGCAGACUCGCUCCAUUCUUCUCCUCCGCGAGAACCAGCUCGCCAACACCGCCCCGGGCGGCCCAUGCCGUCCCAAGUCGCCCUCUACGGCAACACCACCGGCUCCUCCACCGGUGGCAAUUCCGGCGGCAAUGGCGGCCAAGGCGGCCGCUGGCCCAAGAAGAAGAAGAACGUCGGCGGGAGUGGCGCCAACUCCAACCAUGCCUACCCUGCCGCCGCGUCCGGACCAUGGAUCUACUUCAACCCCUACACCGGGCAGACACAGCAGAUGCAGCCCACCUGGCGCCCCUACGACGCUCCGGCUGCUCCCGCCGGGGGCGCCGGCCUCCUCGGGCCAGCCCCGUGGUCCACCGCCCCGGCACCGCCAUCCCGUCAGUCCACCUGGGUACCCCCUGGCCAGGUCGCUUACACGACCCAGCUGGCGCCCCUGCAUGGCCAGGCAUGGGGCACCAACCCGCCUCCACCCGCGGUGCCCUACCACCCUGCCGGCUUCGCCCCGGCUCCUGCAUGGGACUGCUCCGCCCUCGUCGCCGCCCUCAACGCCACCGCUGGGCCCUCUGCCGCCGGCUCCUCCACGCCGGGUGCUUGGGUGA
rnacentral:rRNA from 1 species